rnacentral:rRNA from 1 species
UGAGCAUGUGGUUUAAUUCGAUGCAACGCGAAGAACCUUACCUACUCUUGACAUCCAGAGAAUUUGCUAGAAAUAGCUUAGUGCCUUCGGGAACUCUGAGACAGGUGCUGCAUGGCUGUCGUCAGCUCGUGUUGUGAAAUGUUGGGUUAAGUCCCGCAACGAGCGCAACCCUUAUCCUUUGUUGCCAGCGAGUAAUGUCGGGAACUCAAAGGAGACUGCCGGUGAUAAACCGGAGGAAGGUGGGAUGACGUCAAGUCAUCAUGGCCCUUACGAGUAGGGCUACACACGUGCUACAAUGGCAUAUACAAAGAGAAGCGAACUCGCGAGAGCAAGCGGACCUCAUAAAGUAUGUCGUAGUCCGGAUUGGAGUCUGCAACUCGACUCCAUGAAGUCGGAAUCGCUAGUAAUCGUAGAUCAGAAUGCUACGGUGAAUACGUUCCCGGGCCUU